rnacentral:lncRNA from 1 species
CAGGCUGGGUCAUGGUGGCAGGACCCCAGGGGGAUAGACCAGGGGCCCACGUCUGGAGGCAGGGGCCAAGCGACCCACUGCCGGAUGAGGCUGGGGCCCGGCUGCCCACCUGCCAGCCAGAGGGUCAGCCACACGGCCCUGCCAGCAAAGGGGGGUCUUGCCCUGCAGCCUCUGGCUGUCAUUAGCUCUUCCGGGGCAGGAGGUGGGCCCUGCAGCCAGAGGGGAUCCAGGCGCGCAAGGGGCCACCUGGACCUCAUUACUCGUAAGUGGUCAGGUCUGAGAGUGGGCCGGGGAACGGCCAGCCCCGCCCACACCCCUCCAAGCCCACACUGCGGCCAUUCUGUCACGGAGUGAAACAAAAUCAGGCCCAUCCCAAAGCCCCAGGAGGGUCCUGUGUGGGAGGCCGCGCCCAGCAGGGGACAGACCAGCAUGGGCUGGAGGGGUGUGUUCUGGGGGUGGUGAGCUCAGACCCUGGCUUGUCCCUUGGGGGUCCCUUUGGUAGCCCACCCCCAUCUCCCAAGGGACCUGCUGUAUUCGGCAGUUUAGGCCACCAUCAACGUCCUGUUUCUGACAGGUGGGAGGGCAGGAGGGGCCACAGUGCCCUACCUGCCUGCCUCACCCUGGGCAGGACCCUCCUGGCUCUCCCCCAUCUUGUCUCACUCCAGGAAGCCUCCAGCUGGGGAGGGAGCCAGGACAGUUCGGGGGGACCCUGGGGCCCCCAAUCAGGCAGCCCAAAACCCCAGCUCUGCAGCCGCAAGAGCUCCGAGUGCCCAGACCCGCCUCGAGGUGAACUUCAGCUGACAGGAGACGCCUGGGUCCCAGCACCAACCCGGAGACCACCUUGGGCUGGAGCCCAGCACGGCCACCGCCUCAUCUCGGCUGUCCAGCUUGGGACAGGUCAGUUCCCAGAUAUGCAGGCUGGAGCUAGUCCUUGAAGAGCCUCAAGUCCAGCCUGGCACAGGAGGGCCAAGUGAGGGCCUCUGUGGGCUCUAAGGAUGUACCCGGGGGUGCUGGGGUGCCUGCUCUAGAGGGGGUGAUGCCUCCCCUUGGCCACCACUCCCUGAAAGAGAGUCCCAGAGUCCCACAUGGAGGCAGCUGCCCCUCUGCCAGCCCCCAGCUGGGACCCUGGCACCCAAGUGUCCAGCCGUGGCCCCUGGGGGAGCUCAGCCCCACCCCAAAUCAGGAAGUGUCCCCAGUCCCACGCAGUGUCAGCCUGUCCCUUUCCCCAGCCUGGCUUCCAUAAGGUAGAGAGUACAGCUGGUCCUCCAGAGGCUCCCUGGUCCCAGAAGGCUGGUCCGUUCCACCCUCUCACACCCUGCUCCCACUGGACAAGUAGGCCGCCGCCACGGGCCUUGCGUGGAGUCUAACCAGCUUUGGGGAUAAGCAGACGUCAUCAGGGAGAGGUCCCUGUGCCCCUCACCCUAUUUCCUGAGCCUCCAACCCCACUGGGCUGGGAGCUCUNNNNNNNNNNNNNNNNNNNNNNNNNNNNNNNNNNNNNNNNNNNNNNNNNNNNNGCCCCCCACCCGUGCCCGACUUGGGCCUUGAACACCACAGUGCUGUGCGUUUUGUGGGCUUUCUUCAGACAGCGUCCAGCCCCAGCUCCAUGGAGACAGACUGUCCCCUCAGGUGAGAGAACAGAGGCCCAGAGAGAAGGGGCCCGUGGCGUGGCAUGGCGGGGGUCCCUGCUGGCCCUGAGGGCGGGGCUGGCGCCACCCUGGUCAAGUGGAGGGUCCUGGGAAAGGGGCAAGGGUGAAGGGGCAGCUCUGGGUCUCUAGGAGUCUCCUCGGUGUCUCUUCUGAUUGAGCGACUCGACACCACUUGGCUCCUGGGAUGAGGCCCCCUUCAUCUGGACCCCAGUCCCCAGCACCCUG